rnacentral:rRNA from 1 species
GACGAACGCUGGCGGCGUGCCUAAUACAUGCAAGUAGAACGCACAGUAUAUACCGUAGCUUGCUACACCAUAGACUGUGAGUUGCGAACGGGUGAGUAACGCGUAGGUAACCUGCCUGGUAGCGGGGGAUAACUAUUGGAAACGAUAGCUAAUACCGCAUAAUAUUGAUUAUUGCAUGAUAAUUGAUUGAAAGAUGCAACUGCAUCACUACCAGAUGGACCUGCGUUGUAUUAGCUAGUAGGUGAGGUAACGGCUCACCUAGGCGACGAUACAUAGCCGACCUGAGAGGGUGAUCGGCCACACUGGGACUGAGACACGGCCCAGACUCCUACGGGAGGCAGCAGUAGGGAAUCUUCGGCAAUGGACGAAAGUCUGACCGAGCAACGCCGCGUGAGUGAAGAAGGUUUUCGGAUCGUAAAGCUCUGUUGUAAGAGAAGAACGGGUGUGAGAGUGGAAAGUUCACACUGUGACGGUAUCUACCA